rnacentral:rRNA from 1 species
UACCUGGUUGAUCCUGCCAGUAGUCAUGUGCUUGUCUCAAAGAUUAAGCCAUGCAUGUCUAAGUAUAAACAACUUUAUACUGUAAAACUGCGAACGGCUCAUUAUAUCAGCAAUAAUUUAUUUGAUGAUUUCUUACUACAUGGAUAACUGUAGUAAUUCUAGAGCUAAUACAUGCGUAAAGUCCCAACUCUUGCGGGAAGGGAUGUAUUUAUUAGAUAAAAAACCAAUGCGGGUUCUGCUCGCCUUUGUGUUGAAUCAUAGUAACUUUUCGAACGCCAUAGCCUUGUGCUGGGCGUAGAUCAUUCAAAUUUCUGCCCUAUCAGCUUUCGACGGUAGUGUAGUGGACUACCGUGGCGUUAACGGGUAACGGGGAAUUAGGGUUCGAUUCCGGAGAGGGAGCCUGAGAAA